GGGGGGGGGCAUCAUUCUUAGAAUAAUUGAAUAAUUAGCAUAAGCCCAGUGACAAAGAAGUGAGAUAGGCCCUAUGUUUGAGCAACAGAUUUGGGGGAAAAAAGCCCUUUGAGGCUGUAUUGCAAUAAUGUGCUAGAGAGAGAUCAACUCAUCCUGACUUGUAUAUGGUUAUAUGCCCUCAUGUGCUAGAAAACUACAGGCAAAAUGUGUGUAGAAAAAAAUAUCAUGCUCUUAUAGCAAAGAAACUUCCAGAUAUUGAGGUGCCUCAGCAGAACAAGUUAUAGAGUCAGUUCGGUGAGACCCGUGAAAUAUAUUUUACAGAACUGAGAAUUUGUUAUGUUUUGACCAUAUAUGGUUGUUUUACAAUAAAAUUGUAGUUGACUGCCAUGGUGAAAACCAGUUUUUUCUUAUCCAGACAGUUGCCCGUUUAUUCAGAUGAUGUGCAGAGAAGUAUACUGCCAGCAUCCCAAAGUAAACUACAUUAUGGGCAGUGAUUAAGUUCUAUAACAGUAUUAAUACUUGACCUUGUAGCCAGGGAUGGGAUUUUAUGAGCUUCUCUAAGAGUCUAAAAACCUCCAUGUUGUUUUGUGGGAAAAUGGUUCCUUCAUUCUAAACAACCAGUUUUCAAAUGGACUUUUGAGGGCUUUUUUAAUGUUCAUUGACUCUUUAGUAUACUUUAGGCUUUCAAGGAUUUUUAAAAAUUAGCUUAAAAUUUAGGGGUUCUUGAGUAAUGGUGAUAAUUUCAUGAUACUGGUUUAUUCUAUUCUCUGAAGUUUGUAGUCCUGUACUAAUAAAAUUUCUUUUAAAAAUAAAAAUAGCAGAAUUUCAGAAUUGCCAGAGAAUUUAGAGGUGAUUUACUAUAGGUUCCCAUCCAAUAUAGAAAUCUCUUCUAUAACAUCCUUAACAGAUUAAUAUCUAGUUUUUAUUUAAGUAUAUGUGGUGAUCGGGAGAAGUAUUCUGUUCAACGAAAUUUUUGCCAGGAAACUACAAAUAUAUCAGUAUGUAUUUAUUGGAUGGUGACUAGGUGCCCAGGACUGUGUUCAGUAUUAUGGGGAAAACAAAAUAAUUAAGGCUCCAUCUCUGCCCCAAAGGAGCUUAAGGAAUAGUUGGAGAGGCAAAAUAACAUAUUCAUUCAUUCAUUAUACCAUUUUAUUUUAUAUGCUAUGUGACAUGCUAAGUUCUGACAACACAAAACUUGGUCUUGGCUCUGAAGACGUUUACACUGUUGCAAAGAUAAACAUUCAUAUACAUCCAUCUAAAAUGCAAGAUAAUUGUUGCAGUGUGUGCGCACAUGCACAUUCCUGGUCAUAUUUCAAUGACCAUUGUUUGCAAUGACUACAAAGGAGGAGGAACAGUUUUAAGUCCACCUGGGGAAAUCAAGUUUGUCAGUAUUCUAUAUAGGAUGAUUUAAAUUAUAUUCCUGGGAGAAGAAAGUGUUAUGGUGUGUUACAAAGAAUAAGAUUUGUGAGACAAAGUAAAAGUUAAUAUAUGUUCACUUGGAAGAUUCUAGCAAAUGAGGACUCAGGUUUUUUUGAUGUAACAGCAUUUCUUCUUCCUAAAGAAUAGAGGAAUAAAGUAUUUUAAAUAUGCAUAGUGACUUUUCAUCAUAUAAUAGCAAGUUCUAAACAUUAGCUUUCCUAAGAAGUAAACUAUGCUAACUGGCAAUAUUAGCGUCAGCUAUUUUAAAAUUGAGCUGAUGUCUCAAAGCAUAUUAGUCCUUAAGAGCUGGUGAGAUUCUUUGCACUAAUACCUAAAGCUAAGGCUCUGUAGCUUUAAGUUCAAAUAUGUUAGCUUAUGUUUUGGGAUGCUGAUGUUAACUUUUAAAAUGUAGGUGCUAUGGUGAUAUAUGGAAUUGUUGAAUCACUAUAUUGUACACCUGAAAUUAAUACAACACUGUAUGCUAACUGGAAUUAAAAUAAAAACUUAAUUUAAGGGGCACCUGGGUGUCUAGUUGGGUGAGCAACGGCUCUUGGUUUCAGCUCAGGUCAUGAUCUCAGGGUCAUGGGAUCAAGCCCUGCAUUGGCCUCCACACUCAGCGUGGAGUUGGCUCGGGAUUCUUUCUCUCCCUCGGCAUGUGCUCUCUCAAAUAAAUAAGUCUUCAAAAAAUAAAAUAAAAUAAAAACUUAAUUUAAAAAAAGAAGAAGAAAAUAAAAUGUAGGUGCUAGAUAUUGGACUCAGAAAUACUUAAUGCAUGAUGAGAAAAUGUAGAGAUAUCUCCUUCUGGAUCACUUUUGUGUAUGACUGUAUUGGUUAGUCACUUGAUUUUAUAUUUUUAGAAAUUCCACACCAUCAACCACAAGUCUUUUGUCUAAUAAACAGGCCAUCAAUUACAUCAUCAUUUUACCUUGUAAGAAACCUCAUGUGCUCACUGGAAAUGCAAAACCUGGGUUGAGUUUUAUAAUUUCAGCUACAUCAAGUAAGUUUAAAGAGAAAAGUUAAGUCUUUCCCCCAGAAUGCAAACAGAAAACAUGAACUCCCCCAUAGACAGGUUUUUAGGUAAAACACAUGGCUUUUCUGAGCCUCAGUUUUAUUAAAUGAGCAGGAUAGGCAUCAUUUCCAUUUCACAAUUUAUUGUGAAAAAUUGGUGGUAAAAUAGAAAUGUAUUAUUUUUAGUCUCUUUUACUAUAGACUUCAAAUGCCUACAUCUGGUGCAUUUCCUUAUAGCCUAAGUGUGAUUAGUUGGGUUCUCUGGUAAACAGAUUGAGAAAGGUCUAAGAUAAAGGGCCAAAUGCUCAAUUCUUCCCUCUCCCAGAGGACUGUACAGGAGCUUAGUAGACAGGGGACAAGACCAGUCAAAAGAACAUUUGAUGAAAGUUCAGCUCUGGCCCCAAAGUCACUAUAUCCAUCUCCUGGUGAGCUAAGCCAGACCUCAGAUAAGUCACAAGGCCUUCCUUUCCCUAAGCACCGAAAGCUAUGUGAUCUGGAUGAAGAGGGGCUGGGAGGCAGCUCAAGAAGCUUCCUUAUCCUCUUUCCCUGCACUUUAAGCUCUGCCUGCCCAGAGGGAGAAAGGGGACACUCGGGCAAGGAAGAGACGGAGGGGGAAGGGAGAGUUGGGAGAGGGGAAGCGGGGAGAAGGAGAUUGCUGAUUCACCCUAAAGCCAAGGGGAGAGCUUGUCUGAGCUAUCCUCCCCAGGCCUUCCUCAGGUAUAGCCCACUUCCAAGAGAGAGGCAGCUCCAGACCUAUCAUAUCUCACCAGCUUCAAGGAAGAAGAGAGAGACUCAAAGUGGUGACUCCCAAGGGAAGCCCUAAAGAGAGAGUCCAGACGAAUGGAACUUGAGAGCUCCCGCCACUUGAACUCUUUUGAGCACCAAGGUUCACUACUUUUCCUUUAAUGCUACUAUCUCUACUAGCCCCAUUUCUCCUAGAAAGAAGGAAGGAGGAACAAAGAAGAGUCUUGCAUUCUGCCCGGAGGUCAACCAUCUAGAUAAGUCAGAAAAAGAUCCAUAACUGAAAUUCACUCUACGUGGUAAAAGAUCUGUUUGCCUGGAAUGUGUGGAAACUUUCUUAUCCAAAUUAAUGAUAUUUCUGGAGUCCAGAGAGGUUAGCUUCCAAAGAGCAUGAUGAUUUCCUACCAUCUCCAACACACCUAAAUGACUAAGAAUUGCCAUGACUCUUGCCUUACCUGCAAGCCUUCUGUGAUGUCCUAACAAGGUAUUGGUAUUCUCUCAUAAACGAUACCAUCUGUUCCUUCACAGAAGAUUGACCACAGCCUUGACAUCAUUCACUUGCUGAGUACUGUAGCAAUUUAUUCUUCGAUUACUAGAAGCAGCCGACCUCAAAAGGAGAAGAAAACACAAUGUGGAUACCACUAAGAUACAGGAAAUGAGAGCGUCCUUGAUGGCUGGAAAGUCCCAGACUAAACAAAGGUUAAAAAAAAAUUAACAUUUGGGGUGCCUGGGUGGCUCAGUCAGUUAAGCGACUGACCAGCUAUGGAUUUUGGCUCAGGUCAUGAUCUCAGGGUCGUGAGAGCAAUCCCUGCAUUGGCGCUCCACGCUGGGCAUGGAGUCUGCUUAGGAUUUUCUCUCUCUCCUUCUCCCCCUCCUCCACUGCACUCACAAAAUCGCACACACUCACGCUCUCUCUAAAAAUAAUUAAUUAAAAUAAAAUAACAUUUAUAGUAUGUAUAGUUUUCCUUACCCUCAAAAAGUCAGUGUGUCUGUAUUUACCGUGGUAGGAGAAUCACCUUUAUUAAGGGAAGUAUCAAAUGUAGACAAGAUCCUAAGGCAGAUGUGAUGGUUUCUUUUUUACUGAGGAAUAAAUGGAUAGUGCCUCCCAAAUCUGGCCCCCUCUUCAUGUAUCUUAAAUGAGUAAGCACUUAGCUCCGGCUUUAGGAAUCAUUAGGCAGACAUCAUUUGGCAAUUUGGAAGAUGUGUGAAAUGAAAUGUUUCAUCUCAGAGGAAGGUAGCUAGAAGCCAAAUAUUUCCAGAUGUUCACUAGCAUCCAAUUUUAUAAGUGUGCGUGCUUGCUGUUGUUGUGGUUUGUUUCCCUUUGGUGGGAAAAUGUGUUUGUUUAUUCACCUCAUAUUUAUUGCAUACCUAAUUUGUGCCAGGCUGUGUUAGUAAGGAUGGAGCCCCCUUUAAAGAGCUUCCUGGUCUAGGAAGUAAAAUGAUGAGCAAUUACGCCAUGUUUCCUUAGGUGCUAUGAUAGGGGGCAAACCAGGGCUUAAAAGACUGUUCUUUUAUUUUUAAGAUUUUAUUUAUUUAUUUGACAGAGAGAGUGCCCAAGCACACUAGCAGUGGGAGGGACAGAGGGAGAAGGAGAAGCAGACUCCCCACCGAGCAAGGAGCUCAAUCCCAGGACCCUGGGAUAAUGACCUGAGCCAAAGGCAGAUGCUCAACCAAUUAACCAACUGAGCCACCCAGGCGCCCUGUUCCAGUUCUGUUUAACUGGAAUAAGGAUUCUGUAAAUAAUGACUCAGGAAACUAUGCCUUAACUUUUUCAGUGUUUAAUUCUACUCCCAGACUAAUGGCAAUCAGUUCCCUCAAGCACAGAAAUUUCUGAUAAUGCUGAACUUGAGCAGAUGUGCUUGACGUCUGGGUUUUAGUCACGUACAGAUGAACCCUAUUCCAAGUGUACUAUUGCUAUACCUUACCACCAAGAGAAUUCAUAAAUUCAAAAAUUCAAAUUUUAAUCAGUUCCUCCCUCCAAUCCCUUGAAUUUUGCUUCAAGGACAUCGACUCGUGCGUCAGAGGUGCCAGGGUCUGACUUUUUUUUCCUUCUCCUUUCCCCAUUGCUAUUGGGGAAAUGAGCAACCAAUAAAAACAGACAUUUUACUCAGCCCUUGUGUUUGUUAAUAAACACCUUAAAAUUGGGCAGUUUGCUUAAGACUGGUGUUUUUUCUCUCUUUCUUGUUACUAUCUGGCUAUACGUACACUUCCUCCAUACACAAUGUGUUAUUACCUGUCCAUCAUAUAAGUUUUCGACACCACCCUUAAAGGGAAGGCAGACGUCAUGCCCAUGGCACACACGGAACCCCACACCCUUGCACAUACGCGUUCCCAUUUCCCCUGGAGAAAGGCGCUGGCUUGUGCUGGUGAGAGGGAUGCCAUGUGCAGUGCUUGGGGAUGUCUGUUUGUGCUCCCGUGGUCACUGCCCCCAAACAUACACACACUGGCCUCGGAGAGUAGCAAGACGUGUGAAUCGGACAUUUGCUGAGAAUGAAUGCAUUUAGAUGUUCACCCCUUUAGAACCAUCUUUCCUACCGUUUCAGUUCCUUUUCUUUCUCACCAAGAUUUGUUUGUACCUCAAAUAUGUCCAGCAGUUAGCCCUGAAACAAAAUCUGCAUUUUCAGAGCAAAUCUUGUCACUGAUGGAGGCAAAUAUUAUCUCUUGAGAAUAGGUGCUUUAUCUUCUAGCACCAUCUUUCUGAGAGAGUAAGUUUGUAUGUUAACUGAUAACUUAGAGACAUGAAAAUUAACUUCCUUCCCUUGUAUUUCUCUGUCUUCUCCCAAGAGAAAUGAGUCUACCUCAGAGAGGAAGAGCCAUCCUCGAUCUUUGGCAUCUUUUCUCUUGCUCUUCCCAAGUGCAACCCUAUGUUCCUUCCUCUGGACCCACGAGGUUCUGACCUUAACCCUCCCAUAACCUAUCCAAGGCCAGUAGCUUCAAGGUCCAAAUGAAGGUGCUCCAACCCCAUGAAGCCCACCCUGCUCGCUGCAAGCCUGAGUGUUCAUUGUACUUCCCACGCUGUUUACCUGGUGUAUGUACUGCCUUGUUUGGACCCCUGUUUGAUUUUCAUAUGACUCUUUAUGCCUCUCCAGUAGAAUUGUAAGUGCUUUUAGAACAGCAAACCCUGGUUAUGCCUCCUUGAUUUUCCUAUGCUGCUUAGCAUAGAGUGGAUAUUCAAGAAGUUUUAGUUGAUAAAACUAAAACUACUCUACCCUUAGUAUCUCUGAACAAGCCCUGGGAAAUAGGUCUUUAGGAUCUGUUUCUUGCUAGGUCAUUCUUGGGUUAGGAGAGAUUUUUUUUGAUGUCAGAUUGGGGGCAAAUCUGGAUGAUUAGCUGCAGGGUAGAACCCUUUGGAAUCAGCUGUAUUUGAAUCUAUGGGGUGGGAAAAGGAUAUGGUUAAUCACCUUUAUAUUGGCCCAUCUGCCUCUUUGUAGCUGCCAUCUACCUGUUUGUAACUAAGCCAUAACGAAGUUAAAGCACUAUCUCUUUGGGAUGCCUGGGUGGCUCAGUCGGUUAAGUGUCUGCCUUCAGCUCAGGUCAUGAUCCCAGAGUCCUGGGAUCGAGUCCCGCGUCAGGCUCCCUGCUCAGUGGGGGGCCUGCUUCUCCCUCUGCCUCUGUCUGCCGCUCUCUCGCUCUCUCUCUCUCUCUCUCUCUCUGACAAAUAAAUAAAAUCUUUUAAAAAAAGGCACUACCUCUUUAAAGAGUCAACCUCAAUCUAAAGAAUAUGCCUGGAUCACAAGUUAGCAUGUUGGAAUGACACCUGCUGUUUUAUCGUACGCAGCACGUUUUCUCACUUUCAGUGAUAAUACAGUCAUAACUAUGACUUAAAGUCUAGACAAGAGAAAUAAUUUGGGGGUUCUAAUACAUAGAAAAAGAGUAAUGGACUUAAUUGUUGAGGUUGUAGGACAGUACGUGCUCUCAUUUGCUGUUAUUGGGAGAUUUAUAAAGAAGUUCAACCUUUGUUUGGUGGGGAGAGGAAUUUGGCACGACAGGUGCGCAUUGUCUGGUACUACCCAAGCAACGCUGAUUCUUCAUCAUGUUAGUCUUGAGACUAAAUUUUCAUAUUAAAACAUACACACACACUUUUUCUUCUGGAAAAGAUACUAAAGCAAGCGUUGCACUUCAAAACACUCCCUCUGCUCAGUGUAGAUAGCCGUGAUAAUGUAUAAAAAGAGAUUUAAAAAAAUUCAUACACGGACUCAAAAACAAGACAGCAUUUCUGUGGAGCAGGAAUGGACUACUGAGUGGGGCUGAGGCAGCUGCCGGGCUGUGAGCCAACAGCAGGAGGCAGCAGCCAGGGGCUCCGCUCUCCCCCGUCUCCCCCCAGCAAGGGGAGCUAAAAAUGCAUGCUACAAGAUAAGAGACUGGAGCCUGGUCACUGUUUGAAGCCAAAGGCCCCCCCUCCCGAAAGGAAGCAGAGAAGAAUGACAAGUAACUGGAUGGUGGACUGGUGCUUCUGAGGAAACCGAGCCUCCCAACCAGGAGCGGAGCCAGCCUGCUUGCUGUUUCCCGACCGGAUCUGUGAGACCCUGACAUCGGAGCGGAACAUCAGAAUGCCAUGAUAAGAGCCAAUGGUGGGUUGGGGGGCUGGGGGUUGGGUGCAGGAAACCACAGAAGAGCACACAAGAGAUGGUCAGAGACAAUCUCCAUCUCAGAAACAGCCUCCCACUGAGGGCACAGGAAGAAAACUAUGCUCAGAGAAGGCUCUCAGCAAAAUUAGCUGUUGGACCAUUGAUUCACUUGAGACCAAACUCCAUUUUGAACCAAAUAAUGAAGUUCAAAUAAAUACACUUGCAGUGGUCAAAAAGAUAAAGAUAUAACAUUAAAAAAUGGGGAGUUGUGACAGAAGAGCAAAUGGAUAUAAAACAUUUAGAAAGUUUGGAAAUAAAAAAGUCACUGAAUUUAAAAAUAUGAAAAGUAAGACCAUGAAUUAGGUAAGAGUCCUGAGUUUCUCAGAACCCAGCACAGAGAGGCAGUGAUUUAAAAGCACACACACCCGUGGGGGGAUCACUGAGAGGCUCUAACAUAUGUCCAGUAGGAAUGACAGGAAAAAAAUGGAAGAAAUGAUGGAGCAAGUGUGGAAGCAAUAUUUAAAGAAAUUUUGCUGAAGUCUUCCAAAAUUGAAGAAAGUUGAGUCCUGAGCUACAGAUACUGAGCAGGAUUAAUCCACAUAUAUUCAAAAUUAAAGUGAAAUUGUAGAAGAUCUGGGAUUAAAGGCAAGA